UCUCUGGUAAUGAAGUCGUCGAGGCUGC
rnacentral:sRNA from 1 species